GCUCCACACAGCUCCCUGCUGAGCCCUGGCACAUCAGUCAUUCCUUAUGCUUUUUCAUUUUUCACUAAGGAUCCUCAUCAGGCCGUGAUACAAGCUGAGGUUGCAAAGAGGAUGGAUCUGAGGAGCAAGAGAACUGGAGGUGUGGGAGAAAAGGACAUGGGAACACAGCUAAGAACAGCGUGAGGAUCAUGUUACGGGUGUGUGCUCUGGGAGGGAGGAUGAAGAGAAAGGAAUUAAAUUAACAGAAGAGCUGAAUGAAUGAAAGUAAAACUGAAAAUGGGGGUGAUAGAUGAUACAGUGAGGCAAUAGGAUAUGAAAACAGUUGAAACACUUAUAUCUGCUGUGGCUGUCCUGGGAAGUUAAGAUGGGGAAAUGGGAAUGACCAGGCUUCAACAGCAGUACUGAGAAGCUGGGAGAAGCUAGUAUCAGACUGGGACAAGUGGAAAUUCAUGGAGAUUUACUGAGGAUGGAGCCUGUGGCAAGUGACAAAGAUCUGAUGGACUGAUCUAACAUGAGCUUCCUGUAUCACUGCUGUGCUGCAGCCUACAUUGAGGUCAAAAACUUCCAAUGCUCGAUUGCUGCCAGCUUGGCAGAGCGUCACUACCUCUGCUGCGCUUUUUCUGUGUUUGCCCCGAGGUGGCCGGCGCUGGUUCCCCCACAGCACCUCGGCCAGCUCCCGCCCCAGCUCAGUGUGACAAUGACCGGAGUGGCUGUGCUGCCGGCCUGGUUCAACUCGGCAGUGCCGGAGAAGAGCAAGAGAGAAACACAGCAUUAAUACGGCUGUUCACGCUGCUGAAUCUGAGUGGCUGAGGCAUGCUUCUCAGAAAUAAAACAAUCUCGCUAUAGAAGGAGCAGUGGGAGAAAAGGAGGUGUAGGGAUGGCCUUCCAAGGUUGUUGUGGCUCAGAAACUGGCUGAACACUGGUCUGAGUGAUUGGUGGUGAAUGGCUGCCUUUGCAUCGCUUCUUUGCUUAUAUAUAUGACACAUAUAUAUUAUAUAAAAAAUACUGUACCUUCUUGCACUUUCUGUGUACAUUCAUCAAGAUUCCACACUAUCACACAUUCAUGAGAGGCAGAGCAGACAAGAAGUGGAUUGAUUUUACUUCCAAAUGACAGUGCAGAAACUGAGUAAUGAUGCCCUGACAAAUAUAAUGGCUGACAAAUGUAGAUAAAGAAGAGUUAAAGAAACAAACAAAGAUUUUGAAUAAUAUAAAGCUACAAAUGGAACAAUAACUUAUUUUUAUUUACAACUUUAGAAUAACCUAAACUACAAUGUAGCUGUACUGGUUUGGCUGAGAUAGAGUUAACUUUUUUCAUAGCAGCUUGUGGGGCACAGUGCUUUGGAUUUUGUGACAAAACCAGCAAUGAUAACACAGCAAUGUUUUGGCUGUUGCCAAAUACUGUUUGCACAGCACUGCGGCCUUCUCUUUUUUCCCACUUUUUCUCAGUUUCCCCAUCCCAAUAACAAGCUAAAGAUGCAUAAGAACUUGGUAGGGGACACAGCUGGAACAAAUAUUUCAGUUUGCUGAACUGGCAAAGGGAUAUUCCCUACCAUAUGAUGUCAUGCUCAGCAAUAGAACUGGGAUAUUGCGUGCAAGAAGAUGUUGAGGCCUGAGACAUUGACUCUAAGGUGGCUGUUGCUCAAAGCCUGUACUGAGAUUUCUCUGGUUGUUGGGCAUGGUGAUUGCUUUGGUAUAGCUUUUUUUCUUUCUCUUCCCUUCACUCAUUAAACUACCUUUGUCUCUA